AAUGCAAAAACAAUAUUGUGCAGAAGCAAUAAAUCUACAUAGGAAUGCAAGUAGAAGGAGGGAGCCACACAUCCCCUUGAUCUGACUGUGCCAUUCAACAACAGAGUUAAGCUCCACCCUCAAAUCUACUUGCUUGCUCUAGUUUUAUCAAAUGAUAUGGUGGGAAGGUAGGUGGAUGGAGUUGAGUGGGAUCCGGGAUCACCUAUGAUGGACUAGCAGAGCAGACUCCAUGGGCUGAAAGGGUUAAUUCUCUUCCUAUCUCUCAUGGUCUUAUUCCUAUUUUAUUUUAUCUUUCCCUGGAUUCCCAACAUCUGUCAGUCCCAGCCUUUCGUCUACAACCUAUUGAGAAGACAACCCGGUCAUCCCUGGAAACUUUCUUAUUCACCUUCGUUGCACUGUCUCCAAGGUGAGCAUAUCCUUUCUGAAACAAGGAGAUAAAAGCUGUGCUCAGAGCAAUGGAAGAGAGUACCACCUCCUAAACUACUCACCACUAUUUUGUUGGGAUGAAGAAAUGGCUGUUGUACUUCUCUCUGUGAAACAGUUGUCAUGAACAGCUUGUAAACUUCUACUGGUGUGCACUACGCUCAGGAACUUGAUGCUCAGUGACCUGUCUGAUCCACUCACAACUGUAAAUAGUACUUUGCAAAUGAACCUAUUAACUACAUAGUUUAGCCAGUUAAGAAAUAUGUUCAUAGUUUAUACACAUAGCAAAGGCAAUUCUAAUCUCUGUGAACCAGUGGAUUUAGAAGCCUAGAAGUCAAGGAAGUUAAAAAUGAUGAUAUGUUUGUCUCAGAACUACCCUUCUGGUCCAAAUAUGUUGAUGCCAGAGCACAGAAUACACACUAGCACUUGCACUUCUUCAGGAGGCUAAAGAAAUUCAACAUGUGCCCAUUGACCCUUACCAGUUUUAAUAGAUGAACCAUGGAAAACAUCCUAUACAAUACACCAUGGCUUGGCAUGAACACCGCUUUGCCUGAGACUGCAGGAAACUACAGAGAGUUACGGACUAUGACUCAGCACACCAAGGAAACCAACCUUCCUUCAAUGGAUUCUGUCUACACCAGGGGUGGGCAAACUUUUUGACUUGUGGGCCACAAAGGGUUCUAAAAUUUGACAGGGGGGCCGGACCAGGAGCAGAUGGAUGGAGUCUUUUGGUAAUACACCUCAUAAGAGAAAAUAAAAUAUCAUGGGAUAUGUAGAAAACAUGUGCUUUAAUUUCAAUUGAAAAUGAACAAAUGCAUUACAACAAAAUAUCUGUCUUUGAAGUCCCAUGGUAUUUAGCUAUUUAUUGAAAUGACUUUUAAAACACUGAAAAUUAAAUGAAUAAAGUACAGCUUUUUUAAAUAGUAAAAGUUAUUAUUUUAAAGCACUGAAAAUUCUGUUAUCCUUCAAGAUAUUAUCAUCAUCACUCUCCUCCUGACUGUCUUUAUUUCAAAAACGGUAGGAGAUGCAGGUCUACUUGUCCUGCUCCUUCUUAUUCAAUUGUCCCCUGUGCCAAAACUCAACAACGACCAGCACAAAGACAGAACAGUGACAGCGCGCCAGUAUGCGGAGCGCGUUAUUUGAUCUGGAGUGCAUUUUUUAUUUUGAGAACGUACGUGCACCUGUGCACUACUCAUGUCCAUCACUUAACAGAAAUGACAUGUAACAUGUAAGGCUUAUUGAAAAAAAUAUUUUCAAAUGCAUUUUUUACAUAACA